rnacentral:rRNA from 1 species
UACGGGGGGGGCAAGCGUUGUUCGGAAUUACUGGGCGUAAAGGGCUCGUAGGCGGCCAACUAAGUCAUACGUGAAAUCCCUCGGCUUAACCGGGGAACUGCGUCUGAUACUGGAUGGCUUGAGUUCGGGAGAGGGAUGCAGAAUUCCAGGUGUAGCGGUGAAAUGCGUAGAUAUCUGGAGGAAUACCGGUGGCGAAGGCGGGUCUCUGGGCCGAUACUGACGCUGAGGAGCGAAAGCGUGGGGAGCAAACAGG